UUGUGCAGUCAGUGGGCUGGUCACUCACUACUCAUAAAUGCACACUUCAAGACCAAGAAACCUCCGAAAAAGGAGGCGGCGAAAACCCGCAACGGGGUUGUAGAGCCAAGAAACAACAGCAUAUUGCAUUGAUGUUUGCAUCUUAUUAUCCAUUGUCAUUGCAGUUAGGUACUUUUACCUGGUCAUAAUACUUGUACCACUUCAUUUGGUUGGGUUUAACCAAUUUCUUCGUGUGCCCUCCUUGUAGGUCGAUGUUUGGUGUGGAUGGUGUCUGAUUUCAAAUGUUGUGUAGAAUGUUUUGUUGUACUUGCUGUCUUCUCUGUUAUGGGGGCGAUAUAUUCCAGCCUUGUAUGGUACUGUGUUGGAACUUAGAUAAUUGCAUUUUCAGGCACUUCAAUGUUGACUUGUGUUUAUUGCAGAGGUUGUAGUUCCUGUGUGCAAUACAACGUGGCAUUUUGUUUUGAAUUUGUUUUAUAGUGUGUGUGAUAUUUUAAAGUAAUGGUUGAAGCUUCUCGUGUGAAAAUUUAGGCAUGUACUGAAAAGCAAGGAGCAGCAAACUGUGCUAAUGUCAGAUUUGAGGUUUUCACAGUGGCAAGUGAGAAGAUGGCUUUCUUCUGGGUUGCUUUGUUGUGCGGUGAUAUCUGGCCAUUGUCCUUCACUUCCUGUAAUCUCUACAUCUGGCUGCCAGAUUUCUGCUUGUGAUUUUGUUUUGUUUCUGAGACUAAAACAAACUCAAACGGAGGAGAUUAUAUGAUAUUUUGGAAAUCCAUAAAAAAUCAAAUCAGGCAUUACAAGAUAUUGUGAAACCGAGGUUCCAAAAGUGCUUCCAACAAUGACAGAAUUGCUGGAUAAGUUGCAUUACUUCACAACGGGAAUACACGGAAGGAGAAACUAUAGAACAGUCGUUUUCUGCAAUCUGUAAUACCAACAUGGUGGACGAAGAGACUUGUGAGAUGGGGUCGACACUAGUGCCACUUGCUUUAGGACUAGGUAGUGAUGUAUGGUUAUAUAUUUUCAUAAAAUAUAAAACUCUUACAUAAUAAUUCUUUGUAUAAUGUGGUAGAUGCAUGAAAUAAAGAAUAAAUUGACUUCACCAGGA